UGGGGAAUUUUGGACAAUGGGGGAAACCCUGAUCCAGCCAUCCCGCGUGUGCGAUGAAGGCCUUCGGGUUGUAAAGCACUUUUGGCAGGAAAGAAACGUCGCGGGUUAAUACCCCGCGGAACUGACGGUACCUGCAGAAUAAGCACCGGCUAACUACGUGCCAGCAGCCGCGGUAAUGCGUAGGGUGCAAGCGUUAAUCGGAAUUGGGCGUAAAGCGUGCGCAGGCGGUUCGGAAAGAAAGAUGUGAAAUCCCAGAGCUUAACUUUGGAACUGCAUUUUUAACUACCGGGCUAGAGUGUGUCAGAGGGAGGUGGAAUUCCGCGUGUAGCAGUGAAAUGCGUAGAUAUGCGGAGGAACACCGAUGGCGAAGGCAGCCUCCUGGGAUAACACUGACGCUCAUGCACGAAAGCGUGGGGAGCAAACAGGAUUAGAUAUCCCUGGUACGUCCACGCCCUAAACGAUGAUCAACUAGCUGUUGGGGUCUUCGGACCUUGGUAGGCGCAGCUAACGCGUGAAGUUGACCGCCUGGGGAGUACGGUCGCAAGAUUAAAAGCUUAAAUGAAUUGACGAGGUCAUAGCAUGUUU
rnacentral:rRNA from 1 species